rnacentral:rRNA from 1 species
CCCUACCGCUAUCGGGAUGGGAUUAAGACAUGUUAGUCGUGCGCUUCCUAGCCAUGAUGGAGGCGCGGCGCACAGCUCAGUAUCACGUGGCUAACCUAACCUUAGGACGGGGGCACCCCCGGGAAACUGGGGCUAAUUUCCGAUAGGUGAAGAUUCCUGGAAUGGAUUUUUGCCUAAAGGGCACUUGGGUCAUGCUUCCAGGUGUUGCCUAAGGAUGGGGCCGCGGCCGAUCAGGUUGUUGGUGAGGUAAUGGCCCACCAAGCCUUUUACCGGUGCGGGCCGUGGGAGCGGGAGCCCGGAGAUGGGCACUGAGACAAGGGCCCAGGCCCUACGGGGCGCAGCAGUCGCGAAAAUUUCGCAAUAAGCGAAAGCUUGACGGAGCUAUCCCGAGUGCCAUCCGCUGAGGAUGGCUUUUCUCUAGUAUAGAUAGCUGGGGGAAUAAGGAGAGGGCAAGUCUGGUGUCAGCCGCCGCGGUAAUACCAGCUCUCCGAGUGGUGGGGGUGAUUAUUGGGCCUAAAGCAUCCGUAGCCGGCUGAGCAAGUCCCCUGUUAAAUCCAGCGAUUCAAUCGCUGGCCUGCGGGGGAUACUACUUGGCUAGGGGGCGAGAGAGGCCGUCGGUAUUCCCGGGGUAGGGGUGAAAUCCUAUAAUCCCGGGAGGACCACCAGUGGCGAAGGCUGUCGGCUAGAACGCGCUCGACGG